rnacentral:rRNA from 1 species
AUUGAACGCUGGCGGCAGGCCUAACACAUGCAAGUCGAGCGAGCGGCGGACGGGUGCGUAAUGUAUGGGGAUCUGCCCGAUAGAGGGGUAUAACUACUGGAAACGGUGGCUAAUACCGCAUACUAUCGGAUGAACCCAUAUGGGAUUAGCGAGUAGGUGGGGUAAAGGCUCACCUAGGCGACGAUCUCUAGCUGGUCUGAGAGGAUGAUCAGCCACACUGGGACUGAGAAACGGCCCAGACUCCUACGGGAGGCAGCAGUGGGGAAUAUUGCACAAUGGGCGCAAGCCUGAUGCAGCCAUGCCGCGUGUGUGAAGAAGGCCUUCGGGUUGUAAAGCACUUUCAGCGAGGAGGCGUUACUAGCAGAAGAAGCACCGGCUAACUCCGUGCCAGCAGCCGCGGUAAUAC